AGGAUAGUAGUUAAUAAUAACAUUUGAAUUGCAAUCAAAAAGUAAUGAAUAUUUCAUUCUAUCUUG
rnacentral:tRNA from 1 species